rnacentral:rRNA from 1 species
GCACUUCGGGAUAAGCCUGGGAAACUGGGUCUAAUACCGGAUAGGACCAUGAGAUGCAUGUCUUAUGGUGGAAAGCUUNUGCGGUGUGGGAUGGGCCCGCGGCCUAUCUGCUUGUUGGUGGGGUCACGGCCUACCAAGGCUCCGACGGGUAGCCGGCCUGAGAGGGUGUCCGGCCACACUGGGACUGAGAUACGGCCCAGACUCCUACGGGAGGCAGCAGUGGGGAAUAUUGCACAAUGGGCGCAAGCCUGAUGCAGCGACGCCGCGUGGGGGAUGACGGCCUUCGGGUUGUAAACCUCUUUCACCAUCGACGAAGGUCCGGGUUUACUCGGAUUGGCGGUAGGUGGAGAAGAAGUACCGGCCAACUACGUGCCAGCAGCCGCGGUAAUACGUAGGGUGCGAGCGUUGUCCGGAAUUACUGGGCGUAAAGAGCUCGUAGGUGGUUUGUCGCGUUGUUCGUGAAAACUCACGGCUUAACUGUGAGCGUGCGGGCGAUACGGGCAGACUGGAGUACUGCAGGGGAGACUGGAAUUCCUGGUGUAGCGGUGGAAUGCGCAGAUAUCAGGAGGAACACCGGUGGCGAAGGCGGGUCUCUGGGCAGUAACCGACGCUGAGGAGCGAAAGCGUGGGGAGCGAACAGGAUUAGAUACCCUGGUAGUCCACGCCGUAAACGGUGGGUACUAGGUGUGGGUUUCCUU